UACGUAGGGUGCGAGCGUUCAUCGGAAUUACUGGGCGUAAAGCGUGCGUAGGCGGUUUUGUAAGUCAGAUGUGAAAUCCCCGGGCUUAACCUGGGAACUGCGUUUGAAACUACAGAGCUAGAGUGUGGCAGAGGGGGGUGGAAUUCCACGUGUAGCAGUGAAAUGCGUAGAUAUGUGGAGGAACACCGAUGGCGAAGGCAACCCCCUGGGCCGACACUGACGCUGAGGCACGAAAGCGUGGGGAGCAAACAGG
rnacentral:rRNA from 1 species